AACUCUUUAAAGAUACCUACUUUAGUAAGUUGUUUGGAAAUAGAGCGCUGGUAGGGGCCGUUAACUCAGGUAGUAGUAGAGUCUUAAAUAGAGGUGUGGGGCCCCACGUUGGGCGCCAAGUGUCGCAAUACAAAACCUUCAGCCCCGCCCCUUGGCCGGCAGCGGGGUGCUAGAGGUGGUUAGCGUCCCGUUCCCUGGAUUGGACAGGGCACUAUAGAUACUUCAGGUUAUCUCGGUAUAACCAGGACCGCUCGCGUAGCCUUGCCUCUCUUUCUAUAUCGAAGUGUUGUCUGCGUAGAGAGGUCUUUUGCCUUGUCACUCUCAACGGUCUAGCUCUAGCUGGGAUGUGUGAACCCCACCUUUAUCCUCUAGACUCUUUGUUUCACCACUAAUUGGUCCUUGAGUUAUUAUUAAGCACUAGUCCUACCAGUCUCUAUAUGAUUUCCCUGUGGUUGAGUGUUUCCCCUCUGUGAUGUAUCUAGUUUAAAGUGUGAAGACCUUUAGUCAACUUAGCGGGGAGUGUCAGGGUUGUUAUCUCCCGUGCCGUUAACUGUCUUUGAGAGAACCUUUUACUCGAGACAAAAUAAGACUACCGUUUAUUUUUGAAAACACUGUGUUUUUUUUGUCUUUUUACAAUCAAACACACUUCAAAAUACACAAUUUGUUACUCGGUCACACACAGCGUUAAUCAAAAACAUGCAAAUGCUAUUUAUAAACAGGUAGAACAGUCUCGUCCAACCAUCUCUUUCAGUUGGGUACGAUGCAAUUUAUAAACAGGUAGAACAGUCUCGUCCAACCAUCUCUUUCAGUUGGGUACGAUGCUAUUUAUAAACAGGUAGAACAGUCUCGUCCAACCAUCCCUUUCAGUUGGGUACGAUGCUAUUUAUAAACAGGUAGAACAGUCUCGUCCAACCAUCCCUUUCAGUUGGGUACGAUGCUAUUUAUAAACAGGUAGAACAGUCUCGUCCAACCAUCCCUUUCAGUUGGGUACGAUGCUAUUUAUAAACAGGUAGAACAGUCUCGUCCAACCAUCCCUUUCAGUUGGGUACGAUGCAAUUUAUAAACAGGUAGAACAGUCUCGUCCAACCAUCUCUUUCAGUUGGGUACGAUGCAAUUUAUAAACAGGUAGAACAGUCUCGUCCAACCAUCUCUUUCAGUUGGGUACGAUGCAAUUUAUAAACAGGUAGAACAGUCUCGUCCAACCAUCUCUUUCAGUUGGGUACGAUGCAAUUUAUAAACAGGUAGAACAGUCUCGUCCAACCAUCUCUUUCAGUU